GGGCGCCCCACCCCCUGCCGUGCGCGGGCCCCGGCCGUUGGCUCCCUCGCGGCUCGGCGGGCCGGUGCUCGGGGGUCGGUGCCGCCAAGCGCCCGCCCCACGGCGAAGCUUUUCACUUUGCUGAUGCAGGAGGAAGGAAGCAGCAGAAAUAUCCCAGGUCUGAGGGAGCAUCUGGAGCUCAGAGGCAGCUACACAGGGUGUGAGACAGAUGUAUGACUGCUGCAAUAGUGUCAUCUAAUCAUCUCACUCUCAUUUGUUGUCACACAGGGCCAUGAGCAGAAUCCAUAGCAUCAGCAGAAAAGGAAGUGGCUUCCAAAGCAGUGUCACCAGGAGCAUCAGCAAUUUCAGUGGGGAAAGAGCAACAAAAAUAGCAGCUCCAAUGACAGAUGUAUCAGUAAGUGCAGGAUCAUCCGUAAAAGCUAACUCUGUAAUGCAGCAG